UACGAAGGGGGCUAGCGUUGCUCGGAAUUACUGGGCGUAAAGGGAGCGUAGGCGGAUAGUUUAGUCAGAGGUGAAAGCCCAGGGCUCAACCUUGGAACUGCCUUUGAUACUGGCUAUCUUGAGUAUGGGGGAGGUGAGUGGAACUCCGAGUGUAGAGGUGAAAUUCGUAGAUAUUCGGAAGAACACCAGUGGCGAAGGCGACUCACUGGCCCAUUACUGGCGCUGAGGCUCGAAAGCGUGGGGAGCAAACAGGAUUAGAACCGGUACGGU
rnacentral:rRNA from 1 species